rnacentral:sRNA from 1 species
CUGGUCGCUGAACAGGGCCGGCAAAGUCAAGGGGCGCCGCUUCUUGGCGCUCCUCGUAUCUAUGUUGCUCAACGGAGGAUGUAGCUAUGAGAA